AGAAAUAAAGGAAGUCUUUUUUAAUAAAAUGGGAGAAGUUUGAGCAUAUUUACAUUAAAUUGAAAUGAAGGACCAGUGGAGGUAAUGAAGGACAGGUGGAAGUAACGAAGGACAGGUGGUAGUAGUGAAGGAAAGGUAAAAG